rnacentral:rRNA from 1 species
CAGCACCUCAAGUGGUCAGGAUGAUUAUUGGGCCUAAAGCAUCCGUAGCCGGCGCUGUAAGUUUUCGGUUAAAUCUGUAUGCUCAACAUACAGGCUGCCGGGAAUACUGCAGAGCUAGGGAGUGGGAGAGGUAGACGGUACUCGGUAGGAAGGGGUAAAAUCCUUUGAUCUAUUGAUGACCACCUGUGGCGAAGGCGGUCUACCAGAACACGUCCGACGGUGAGGGAUGAAAGCUGGGGGAGCAAACCGGAUUAGAGACCCGCGUAGUCC